rnacentral:piRNA from 1 species
UAGAAAUGUGGCCCUCUCCCCGUGCUCCC